AACGUAGGUGGCGAGCGUUAUCCGGAUUCAUUGGGCGUAAAGAGCUUGUAGGCGGCCACAUAAGUUGGACGUGAAAACUCCGGGCUUAACUUGGAGAGGCCGUUCAAUACUGUGAGGCUGGAGGGUGUCAGAGGGAAGUAGAAUUCCUGGUGUAGCAGUGAAAUGCGUAGAUAUCAGGAGGAAUACCCGUGGCGAAGGCGGCUUCCUGGGGCACCACUGACGCUGAGAAGCGAAAGCAUGGGGAGCGAACAGG
rnacentral:rRNA from 1 species